rnacentral:rRNA from 1 species
UGCCAGCCGCCGCGGUAAUACGGAGGAUCCAAUCGUGGUCCGGAUUCAUUGGGUUUAAAGGGUACGUAGGCGGGUUAUUAAGUCAGUGGUGAAAGCCUACAGCUCAACUGUAGAACUGCCAUUGAAACUGGUAACCUUGAGUUUGGACGAGGUGGAUGGAAUGUAUCAUGUAGCGGUGAAAUGCUUAGAUAUGAUACAGAACACCGAUUGCGAAGGCAGUCCACUAGACCAAUACGGAAGCUGAGGUAAGAACGCAUGGGGAGCGAACAGGAGUAGAUA